rnacentral:tRNA from 1 species
GAAGGAAUUCCUGAGCGGUCAAAAGGGACAGACUGUAAAUCUGCUGCGAAAGCUUCAGAGGUUCGAAUCCUCUUUCCUUCA